UACGGGGGGGAGCAAGCGUUGUUCGGAUUUACUGGGCGUAAAGGGCGCGUAGGCGGUCAGCACAAGUCAGUUGUGAAAUCUCCGGGCUUAACUCGGAAAGGUCAACUGAUACUGUGCGACUAGAGUGCAGAAGGGGCAACUGGAAUUCUCGGUGUAGCGGUGAAAUGCGUAGAUAUCAAGAGGAACACCAGUGGCGAAGGCGAGUCCCUGGACGAUACCUGACACUGAGGCACGAAGCCAAGGGAGCAAACAGG
rnacentral:rRNA from 1 species